rnacentral:pre_miRNA from 1 species
GCUCUGGGCCUCCAGCUUGUGGAACAGGUCUUGCCAGGCCAGGUCCUGGAAGAAGCUGUUGUAGCCAUAAUGCACGAAGCCCAGGUGCC